ACCGUAGGGAGGGUUCAGGAACAAGAGCUGGGGCAAGACCGGGGCCAGCCGGCCGCGGUAAUACCGGCAGCUUGAGUGAUGGCCGAUCUUAUUGGCCCUAAAGCGUCCCGUAGCUGGCCUUGCAAGUCCGUCGGGAAAUCCACCCGCUCAACGGGGUGGGCGUCCGGCGGAAACUGUGAGGCUUGGGACCGGGAGGCUUGAAGGGUACGUCCGGGGUAGGAGUGAAAUCCCGUAAUCCUGGACGGACCGCCGAUGGGGAAACCACUUCAAGAGAACGGAUCCGACAGUGAGGGACGAAAGCUAGGGUCUCGAACCGGAUUAGAUACCCGGGUAGUCCUAGCUGUAAACGAUGCCUGUUAGGUGUGACUCCCACUACGAGUGGGUGUUGUGCCGUAGGGAAGCCGCUAAACAGGCCGCCUGGGAAGUACGUCUGCAAGGAUGAAACUUAAAGGAAUUGGCGGGGGAGCACUACAACCGGAGGAGCCUGCGGUUUAAUUGGACUCAACGCCGGACAUCUCACCAGCAUCGACUGUGGUAAUGACGGUCAGGUUGAUGACCUUACCCGAGCCACAGAGAGGAGGUGCAUGGCCGCCGUCAGCUCGUACCGUGAGGCGUCCUGUUAAGUCAGGCAACGAGCGAGACCCGCAUCCUUACUUGCCAGCAGCACCGUGAGGUGGCUGGGGACAGUAGGGAGACCGCCGUGGCUAACACGGAGGAAGGAACGGGCAACGGUAGGUCAGUAUGCCCCGAAUAUGCUGGGCAACACGCGGGCUACAAUGGCCGAGACAAUGGGUUCCAACGCCGAGAGGCGACGGUAAUCUCAGAAACUCGGUCGUAGUUCGGAUUGUGGACUGAAACUCGUCCACAUGAAGCUGGAUUCGGUAGUAAUCGGUC
rnacentral:rRNA from 1 species